UGGGGAAUCUUGCACAAUGGAGGAAACUCUGAUGCAGCGACGCCGCGUGAGCGAUGAAGCCCUUCGGGGUGUAAAGCUCUUUCGACGGGAACGAUAAUGACGGUACCCGGAGAAGAAGCUGCGGCUAACUACGUGCCAGCAGCCGCGGUAAUACGUAGGCAGCAAGCGUUGUUCGGAAUUACUGGGCGUAAAGAGUGUGUAGGCGGUGCUCUAAGUUCGUUGUGAAAUCUCCCGGCUUAACUGGGAGGGUGCGGCGGAAACUGGAGUGCUUGAGCGCGGGAGAGGAAAGCGGAAUUCCUGGUGUAGCGGUGAAAUGCGUAGAUAUCAGGAGGAACACCUGUGGUGUAGACGGCUUUCUGGACCGUAGCUGACGCUGAGACACGAAAGCGUGGGUAGCAAACA
rnacentral:rRNA from 1 species